UGUUGUCAUUCAUUAUGGCCGCCGCCGCGAAACAGGGCAAAAUAAAACUUACAGACAAUGAUUUCGACUAUGAACAGACCAAAUGUAAUUAUUUCGAAUUAAUAGCCAGUACUCCGCAUCUAGCAUUGACGCGUCAAAAGUACACAGAAGUUGUUAAAACGAUGACAGCGAAAAUUAGGGCGACGAAGAGACAGAAUAUUAAUAAGGUUCUACUUGACACUCUGAGGUAUGCGGGACAAUAUUCGGAACUCCACGAUGCCGAAAUGUUUUGGGAGAAAAAAACAGCAGUUCUCACAAUGAAGCGACAUGAAGACAGGGAGUUGAACAAGACAGCCGUAAGAUUAAAGAUAAUGACGAAUUAGCAAAUGACCAGGCAAAGCAAAUCAAUCAGGAAGAUGCGGAUACGGAUACACCCAUCAUGUACGCCGGCCUUCCAGUAUUUUUACCGGAAAAUGAAAUUAAGAAAGAAAAUGAUCAAAACCACGAAGGAGUUUCGGAAUCAGUCGCGAUUGAUUCGGAUAUGCAUAACCUCACUCAGCAUAUGGUUGAAAUAAUAAUUCAACCGCCAGCUUCAGAUGAAGAAGAAGCAAUCGAUCCCAGUGAGAUAGUUUUGACCACUGAUGAAGUAAUGCCACCAGACUUAAUUUUCAGAGAGGAAGAAAUGAAGGAAAGUGAGGAUACAAUGUUAAUAAAAGAGGAAGAAGGCAAUAUACAAGUAGAAUUAUACUCAGAAACAGGUGAGAUCAAUUUAGAUGUGGAUGACGUCACGGAUCAAAUACCUGAAAUGAUAAUAAAACAGGAAGAAAUAGAUACGUACCUAGAUUCAGAAGAAGUAGUUAAGGACUCUGAAGAUAUGUCAAUAACACUGAUACAGAGGAUGGAUGUAGAACCGAAUGAGAACAUUCUAGGUAUUUAAAUAAAAUAUUGACGUGUCCUGAAUUUGAAAUAAUAAUUUGUGGGGUCCCUACACUGAUUGUUUCAUCGAUUUGAUAGUGAUAUUGCCCUCUCGCUCACACGACGUGAAUUAGACAAGGAAGGGUAGUAUAGUGAACGAAUGAAUAAUGCCAUUCAUUCACCACAGAUUGCGUUCCGUUGUUGUUUUCUCACAGCAGAGAAUAUUUUUUCUUACGCAAGAAAAAAUUUACGAAGGUAUACGGAAAUAAAUUUGUUAUAAUAAA